rnacentral:misc_RNA from 1 species
UUUCCGUAGGUGAACCUGCGGAAGGAUCAUUCAUAAUAAAGUGUUUUAUGGCACUUUUUAAAAAUCCAUAUCCACCUUGUGUGCAAUGUUAGAUCUCGACAAUCUUGGCGAGAUUUUUAUACAUCAACUCAUUUUUUAACUAAUUUGUCUGAAAAAUAUUAUGAAUACUUAAUUCAAAAUACAACUUUCAACAACGGAUCUCUUGGCUCUC